UUUUGCAGCUGCUUGAUGCCUCCCUCACCCCCCAAAAGGUCAUCUUUGAUAAUGUUUCCAUUUUUCAGGUCUCCCUUAAAUCCUGUUCUGAGUCUGACCUUUGACAGAGUGACUGCAGCUGAAAAGAAUGGCAUCACAGUUAUUUAUAAAACACUUCUGGAUCCCACUGUUGAUUUGCUGCCUGGAAGUGACAAUUGGGAAGCUUGUAAUGGAUUCCCAGACAAUCUCAGAUUAACCAGUCUUCAGGAACAUCACACCUUGGCAGCUGUGGAUCCAAACAGCUAUUUUAUGCGGUCUAAGGUGAGCAAUGAUGACAUCUAUAAAAGCAAAUAUUUCUGACUUUCAUAAAACUUAAAAAGAAAUUGACUAGUUUUUUCUGAAUAUGGAUAAAAUUACUGGGUCAUAAGAGGUUGGAAUGUGUGUCCAAUGGAAAACAAUCCAGUACAGGUAGAAAAUAUCCA
rnacentral:lncRNA from 11 species